GAAUAUUCGGUCUAUAUGCGGAACAUGCCGAUACCUCCAAAUCGGAGGAACGACGCGGAACGGCUCAUGCUCACCCCUCGUGUCUCCCUCGGCAGCCCGCUUAUCUCCCUCUCUCGUCUCUCUCUCUCUCUCAUCCGACAGGAACAGGCAGGCGGCGCUGGCAGGAGGUGAGCGGCGGCAGCGGGAACCGGCAGGCGGCGGCGUUGGAAGAAGGCGAGUGGCCGCAGGCGGUGCCUGCUCUGCUUGUACUUGUCCCUGCCUCCGCACCCACCAUCGGCGCACCAGGCAGUCGCCCCCUCCCCCUACGCCUUGAGUUCUUGGCUGCUGGACCACUUCCUCGGCCGCAGAUCAAGCCAUGAGCCGCAAGCUCCGCCCUUCACCGGAAGAUCUGCUCUUCCAUGCCCAGUUCGAGCUUCUCCUUCCUUUUUUUUUCCUCAGAUCGGAAAGAGCGGCGUGAUGCAAGCAUUAGCAAAGGCAAGCAACGUCGUGGCUUUUUGGUUGUGCGCAAUUAGUGGCGACUGGUGAAAAUUGGCUGAUGUUAUAUGUAUGCAUCGUGAUUGUUCGUAAAGAGGAUUUCUUUGUUAAUUUGUUUGUUGCUUAGUAGAGUACUGAUGGUAGUUUAGUUUCCAAAAGAAAAUCAGAGUUUAACUGAUAUGCAAGAGGUGAGCUGUAUCAAAUUAAUCUCAUUUUAUCUCUUCAACCAAACACUGAACUAGAGCCAUUCCAUUCCAUCAAACUGCACUCUACCAAACACAGGGACGGAACCAACCCAUUACAGUGGAAUGGAACCAUGACAUUCCAUUCCACUUCGUUCCUGAACCAAAGACACCCUAUGCGUCUGGAUGUGAAUGGCACUUGCAGUAUAUGGCCGCUCCUUGGUUGUCCAUUUGUAUGCAUCCAUCAGUAUGUAAAUGGCCGCUCCUUGAUUGUUAUUUUGAACAAAACUCCCCCUUAAUUGUUCUACUGAAAUGAAUCCUUGGAAGCUAGCACUACAUGUCUGUUGUUGCUGUCGUCUUGUACUACAUGGCUUUUUCCAAUUUAAUUUCAGUCAAGUUUAUGUGAAUAUAAUCUCCAUUGAUCUGAUGUUUUGGUCUGAAUAUUUACAUUUUAAUUAUCAUGUAUGUACUAAUGCAUUCUCAGAUAUUUGGUCGGUGUUAUCUUCUAAAAUAAUAUUUAAUGCAAUCCUUAAAUAGAAGUAGAAGAAGCAUGUCCGCAAACAGAAUUGUACAUUUUCAUUCCUUUGUAGAAGUGUAAUAGAUUAUUUCUUGAAAACAUAAAGAUUUCAAGUAUAGCGUCAGAACAAAGAUACAAACUGUAAUUUCAACAUCCGGUAAAUGACAUAUACAGCGAGUUGGGCGUGUCAAAUGUUGAUGUACAAACAGAAUACAUUGGAUUAACCAUCUACUUUUUAGAACAGUUCGGAACAUAGCUCAGUUGCUCACAUUAACAAAGAUAAAUAUUAAAACUGGUAAUGUUUGCAGUGCCAAUUGAAGCCGCCAUAGACACGAAUGAACUGGACAAUUGUACUCUUGCAUUAUAUUUAAGGCAUAAUGUUAAAUCCAAAUAAUAGACCUGCGAUGAAACUGAAUAAAUUUUAUGAUUGUUAUUUUUCAUAGUUGGGAGCUAGAAAUUGAUGUUACAUUCAGACCUCUUAACACGGCACAUAUGAUUGUCAGACUAAUUUCUUUGAUCUGGACAUUGUAGUCGGCACAUCUCCUGCCUGAUCGACGUCGAUGCCAUUAUCCUCGAGAAGAACAGGAUGAGAUUGAGACCCUUCCAUUCUUCCGCUUGUUCUAUUCUUGAUGUGAAUUAGCUAGGAUGUAGAGUUUUGUCUAUUAAAGGUCUGGACUAUUGUGUGGUUUCAGUAAAAUUAUAACUGCCUGUAUAUUUGUCUGUGCGUAACAUCUGAACUGGAUCAUGUCCUAUCAUGCAUCGCACUGUUACACAACUAGAGUUGCCAUAUCUUGGUGGACCAUGUCCUGGUAUCAUUUAUCAUUCCCCUGAGUUUAUGGGCCUUAUAAUGAAUGCUAUUUUCUGCUUGCUUGCAUUCAGAAAUGAGAAUAAAUUAUUUACUGUAUUGGAUGCUCCUCUCCUCUCUUUGUUCGGUUCUGUCUUUUUUUCCACUUCCCGGUUUGAACAUAUUGGAAGAGCAAAUUAUGUUAUGUUCCUGGCCCAUCUCUUUCUGCUAUCUUGCGGCUGCAAGACCUGGGAGUUUUAGUGGCUGAUAUAAUUUUGACAAUUUUGCUGCAAUACCUUCAGUUUCUCUAUUGAUUCGGUCAAUUUUGCUGCUGCAAUAGUCUGAAGCAGAACCUCUAUUCUUUUCGUUUGUGCAGGAACUUUGCUCCCAUCUAAUCUGUUUGGGCUGUGUAAAGGGAAGAGAAGGGACGAGAGCAAUGACUGGUUGGGUUGUGUUAAGGGAAGGGAAGAGGGUAAUGACAAGGAGCAGCUGCAAGGGCAUACUGGGAGAGGAGGGUCGACCCCGACGCCAUGGAAGAUUGGAUAGCGUGCUUCUUGGUGUUGCCCAUCACAAUCAGCCACAACAUGAUAGUUGCCAUCAAGAGCGUCAACAGCAAGAGCCUGUAUAACAACACCCUCAAUAGUUUAUCUAUUCUGAUGUAAAAUGGAUUGUACUGGUUCAUAACUCUGCUGUGUGAUAUAUGUUCUCAAUAUAUGUUGUAUGUUAUCAUUUUGUGAGGAUUUUUUAAACUGCUAUGCCGUAGAUACGUAUAGAUGGAUGUGAUAAACUUUGUAAUGUUUCACACCUUGCAAAUAUU
rnacentral:rRNA from 1 species